AGGGCGCACGGCGGAUGCCUUGGCACAGGAAGCCGAUGAAGGACGCGGCAAGCCGCGAUAGUCUGCGGGGAGGGGCAAACACCCUUCGAUCCGCAGGUUUCCGAAUGGGGGAACCCAGCAGGGGUCAUGCCCUGCUACCCCGGGCCGAAUCAAAUAGGCUCGGAGGAGGCAACCCGGGGAACUGAAACAUCUAAGUACCCGGAGGAACAGAAAUCAACCGAGAUUGCGCGAGUAGCGGCGAGCGAAAGCGCACCAGCCCAAACCCAUGCACGUGCAAGCUUGAGGGCGUUGCUGCAUGCGGUGUUGUGGGACCGGCCAUCUCCAGGGCCUCAGACCUGGGGCGGAGUUACAAAGCUGCGCGGUAGCGGAACGGCAUGGAAAGGCCGGCCGCAGCGGGUAAGAGCCCCGUACGCGAAACCCCGCAGCCUCCGAGGCCGGCACCCGAGUAGUGCCGGACACGUGAAAUCCGGUACGAAUCCGGGGGGACCACCCUCCAAGGCUGAAUACUCUCCUGUGACCGAUAGCGAACCAGUACCGUGAGGGAAAGGUGAAAAGCACCCCGAGAGGGGAGUGAAACAGUACCUGAAACCGUGCGCCUACAAGCAGUCGGAGCACUCUUGCAGUGUGACGGCGUGCCUUUUGUAGAAUGAGCCAGCGAGUUGCGGUAAGCGGCGAGGUUAAGGUUGGAACCGAGCCGCAGUGAAAGCGAGCCUUUAAGAUGGCGAACAUAGUCGCUUGCCGCAGACGCGAAGCCGGGUGAGCUAUCCAUGGGCAGGCUGAAGCGGGGGUAAGACCCCGUGGAGGGCCGAACCCACUUCGGUUGAAAACGGAGGGGAUGACCCGUGGAUAGGGGUGAAAGGCCAAUCAAACCCGGAGAUAUCUCGUUCUCCCCGAAAUAGCUUUAGGGCUAGCCUCGAUCGUUCAGUGCCGGAGGUAGAGCACUGGAUCUUCUAGGGGGCUUCACCGCCUACCGAAAAGAACCAAACUCCGAAUACCGGCACUUAAGAGAUCGGGAGUCAGAGCAUGUGGGCUAAGCUGUGUGCUCGAGAGGGAAACAGCCCAGACCGCCCGCUAAGGUCCCCAAGUUCAUGCUGAGUGGCAAAGGAUGUGCGUUUGCCUAGACAACCAGGAUGUUGGCUUAGAAGCAGCCAUGCAUUUAAAGAGUGCGUAACAGCUCACUGGUCAAGUGGACAUGCGCCGACAAUUCACGGGGCUAAGCAUGACACCGAAGCGGCGGACUGAUUUAUCAGUGGUAGGGGAGCUUCCCAUGGGGGGCGAAGCCGAGGGGCGACCCUCGGUGGACCGCAUGGGAGUGAGAAUGCUGGCAUGAGUAACGAGAGAGGGGCGAGAAACCCCUCCGCCGUAAGCCUAAGGGUUCCUGGGCAAGGCUAAUCCUCCCAGGGUCAGUCGGGAGCUAAGGCGAGGCCGGAAGGCGUAGCCGAUGCACAACGGGUCGAUAUUCCCGUACCGCUGACGAGCGUUUGACCGACGGGGUGACGGAGAAGGGUAGCCGGGCGGGGUUCUGGACGUCCCCGUGAAAGCGUGUAGGGGGGCUCGCAUGGAAAUCAGCGAGCCACAUGCCCCGAGACGCGAGACGAAGGCAUUAGCCGAAGUCGGCGAGCCCAUGCUUCCGAGAAAAACCUCUAGGGAGCUUUGUCGGCGCCCGUACCAAAACCGACACAGGUAGGCGGGUAGAACAUACCGAGGCGAUCGGGAGAACCAUGGUUAAGGAACUCGGCAUACUGGCUCCGUAACUUCGGGAGAAGGAGCGCCCUUUCCGGUGAAGGCCCUCGCGGCCGGAGCGGGGAGGGGCCGCAGCGAAACGGCCCAAGCGACUGUUUAUCAAAAACACAGGACUCUGCUAAGCCGCAAGGCGACGUAUAGGGUCUGACGCCUGCCCGGUGCUGGAAGGUUACGCGGAUGGGUUAGCGCAAGCGAAGCUCUGAAGCCAAGCCCCAGUAAACGGCGGCCGUAACUAUAACGGUCCUAAGGUAGCGAAAUUCCUUGUCGGGUAAGUUCCGACCUGCACGAAUGGCGUAACGAUUUGGGCGCUGUCUCAACCAUGGACCCGGUGAAAUUGUAUUAUUCGUGAAGAUGCGAAUUACCUGCGGAAGGACGGAAAGACCCCGUGAACCUUUACUGCAGCUUGACAUUGGUCGUUGGCUCGGCGCGUAGAGGAUAGGCAGGAGGCUUCGAAGCGGGGACGCCAGUUCCCGUGGAGCCGGCCUUGGA
rnacentral:rRNA from 1 species